rnacentral:rRNA from 1 species
ACUCAAAUGAAUUGACGGGGACCCACACAAGCGGUGGAGCAUGUGGUUUAAUUCGACAAUAAACGGGGAACCUUACCAGGGCUUGACAUCUCCGGAAUCCUGAGGAAACUCGGGAGUGCCGUAAGGAAUCGGAUGACAGGCGCUGCAUGGUCGUCGUCAGCUCGUGCCUUGAGGUGUUCGGUUAAGUCCGUAAACGAGCGCAACCCAUGUCUUAUGUUGCAAAUUUCAUAAGAGACUGCCGGCUCCAAGUCGGAGGAAGGUAUGGAUGACGUCAGAUCAGCAUGGCCCUUAUGCCCUGGGCUACACACGUGCUACAAUGGCCGGUACAAUGAGUCGCGAACCCGCAAGGGGGAGCCAAUCUCACCAAAGCCGGUCUAAGUUCGGAUUGGGGGCUGAAAUUCGACCCCAUGAAGUUGGAAUCGCUAGUAACCGCAAAUCAGACAUGUUGCGGUGAAUAUGUUCCUGGGUCUUGUACACACCGCCCGU